rnacentral:rRNA from 1 species
UACGGGGGGAGCAAGCGUUGUUCGGAUUUACUGGGCGUAAAGGGCGCGUAGGCGGCCGAUCAAGUCGGAGGUGAAAUCCCUCGGCUCAACUGAGGAACUGCCUUCGAUACUGUUCGGCUUGAGUCCUGGAGAGGGUAGCGGAAUUCCCGGUGUAGCGGUGAAAUGCGUAGAGACCGGGAAGAACACCAGUGGCGAAGGCGGCUACCUGGACAGGUACUGACGCUGAAGCGCGAAAGUUAGGGGAGCAAACAGG